rnacentral:rRNA from 1 species
CGAUUCGCCCUUGGGGGUGCCCCCCGAUCGAUUUCUUUUUCAUGCUUGAAACCGUGAUCAGGGGGACACCGAAUGUCACCGUCUUAUGGUGGCUGUCCAAAUGUGUAAAAUACAUCCUGUUACCAAGGGCCGGGCAAUACCGGUGUCCAGACCGCCGCGGUAAUCACCGGCGGCCCGAGUGGUGAUCUUGAUUAUUGGGUCUAAAAGGUCCGUAUCCGGUUUGGUCAUUCCUCCGGGAAAUCUGAUAGGUCAACUAUGAUGUUUUCCGGGGAUACUGCCUAACUUGGAACCGGGAGAGGUAAGAGGUACUACAGGGGUACGAGUGAAAUCUUGUAAUCCCUGUGGAACCACCUGAGGAGAAGGCUUCUUACCAAAACAGGUUCUGCGGUGAGGGACCAAAGCUGGGGGUACGAACGGUAUUAUAUACCCGGGUAGUCCCAGCCGUAUACCAUGCUCGCUAGGUGUCACACAUGGUACAACCGUGUCUGGAUGCCGCAUGGAAGCCAUGAAUCGAACCACCUGUGAAGUACUGUCGCAUGGCUGAAACUUAAAGGAAUUGGCGGGGGAGCAC